GUGGAUUAGAUACCCUGGUAGUCCACGCCGUAAACGUUGGGCACUAGGUGUGGGGUCUUAUCAACGGACUCCGUGCCGCAGCUAACGCAUUAAGUGCCCCGCCUGGGGAGUACGGCCGCAAGGCUAAAACUCAAAGGAAUUGACGGGGGCCCGCACAAGCGGCGGAGCAUGUUGCUUAAUUCGAGGCAACGCGAAGAACCUUACCUGGGCUUGACAUGUACCGAAAAGCCAUAGAGAUAUGGUGUCCUUCGGGGCGGUACACAGGUGGUGCACGGCCGUCGUCAGCU
rnacentral:rRNA from 1 species